ACGAACGCUGGCGGCGUGCUUAACACAUGCAAGUCGAACGGUGAAGCGCCUUCCUUUUUGGUGGGUGUGGAUGAGUGGCGAACGGGUGAGUAACACGUGAGUAACCUGCCCCCUUCUUCUGGAUAACCGCAUGAAAGUGUGGCUAAUACGGGAUAUUCUGGGUCUGUCGCAUGAUGGGUCUGGGAAGGAUAUUGUUUCGGUGGGGGAUGGGCUCGCGGCCUAUCAGCUUGUUGGUGGGGUGAUGGCCUACCAAGGCGGUGACGGGUAGCCGGCCUGAGAGGGUGGACGGUCACACUGGGACUGAGACACGGCCCAGACUCCUACGGGAGGCAGCAGUGGGGAAUAUUGCACAAUGGGCGCAAGCCUGAUGCAGCGACGCCGCGUGAGGGAUGGAGGCCUUCGGGUUGUGAACCUCUUUCGCCAGUGAAGCAGGCCUGCCUCGUUUGUGGGUGGGUUGACGGUAGCUGGAUAAGAAGCGCCGGCUAACUACGUG
rnacentral:rRNA from 1 species